CCUACGGGAGGCAGCAGUAAGGAAUAUUGGUCAACGGACGAAAGUCUGAACCAGCCAUGCCGCGUGAAGGAUGAAGGUCCUCUGGAUUGUAAACUUCUUUUAUCUGGGACGAAAAAAGGUUAUUCUUAACCACUUGACGGUACCAGAGGAAUAAGCACCGGCUAACUCCGUGCCAGCAGCCGCGGUAAU
rnacentral:rRNA from 1 species